rnacentral:rRNA from 1 species
UACGGAGGGUGCGAGCGUUGUCCGGAAUCAUUGGGCGUAAAGGGUGCGUAGGUGGCGCAGCAAGCGUGCGGUGAAAGCUCGGGGCUCAACCCCGAGUCGGCCGUGCGAACUGCUGGGCUCGAGCACUGUAGAGGCAGGCGGAAUUCCGGGUGUAGCGGUGGAAUGCGUAGAGAUCCGGAAGAACACCGGUGGCGAAGGCGGCCUGCUGGGCAGUUGCUGACACUGGAGGCGCGACAGCGUGGGGAGCAAACAGGG